rnacentral:rRNA from 2 species
CAGCCGCCGCGGUAAAACCAGCACCUCAAGUGGUCAGGAUGAUUAUUGGGCCUAAAGCAUCCGUAGCCGGCUCUGUAAGUUUUCGGUUAAAUCUGUACGCUCAACGUACAGGCUGCCGGGAAUACCGCAGAGCUAGGGAGUGGGAGAGGUAGACGGUACUCGGUAGGAAGGGGUAAAAUCCUUUGAUCUAUUGAUGACCACCUGUGGCGAAGGCGGUCUACCAGAACACGUCCGACGGUGAGGGAUGAAAGCUGGGGGAGCAAACCGGAUUAGAUACCCGGGUAGUCCCAGCUGUAAACUAUGCAAACUCAGUGAUGCAUUGGCUUGUGGCCAAUGCAGUGCUGUAGGGAAGCCGUUAAGUUUGCCGCCUGGGAAGUACGUACGCAAGUAUGAAACUUAAAGGAAUUGGCGGGGGAGCAC